rnacentral:sRNA from 1 species
UUUGCAUUCUCACAGCACAUUUUUUGUACUUCUGUUAUAACCCUAAUUUUAUUUUUCUUCAUAGAUUUUUUUGUUUUUCUAUCUUACUUAGACUAUGACCUUCUUGAAUAUAAAAACUGUGUCUUCCUCAAUUUUUAUCCAGUGUUUGGUACAGAGCUUGGUAUAUAGUAGAUAUCAAUAAGCAUUUAUCAAGUAGAAUUAAUAGUAAAAUGUCACUUUUUAAUGCAUUCUAUGUGCCAAGCACUGUGUCAUGUGUUUUACAUAUAUUAUCUCAUUGAAUCUUUACAACAACCCUAUGAGAUAGGUACUAUCAUCCUCAUUUUACAGAUGAGGGACCUGGAGCUCAGAGAGGUUAAGCAACUUGCCCGAGGUCACACAGCUGGUAAGUGUGGAGCCAGAAUUUGAACCCAGAUCCACCUGACUCCAAACCGUGCUCUAAAUGCAUAUGCUGCCUUCCAAUGAAUGAAUGAAAGGUGAGAUUUUACUGGGCCAUGUAGGGGCUAGAGAGACAAGCCUGGCAGGCAGAGAGAGCGCAAAGAAGAAGGCUUUUUCUGAAUUAGGGAAAAGCUCUGAGAACUCACGCUUAUGGAACAGACACUUACUGAACAUCUACUACAGGCCAGACAGUCUGCUGAGAUUACCAAGAUGAGUGAGAACUGCCCCCAAGGAGCUCACUGACUAAGAGGCUGGGAGAGCGGGGCAAGUGACAGGCACAUCAAGUAACAGACAUGCUGGCAUAGGAAAGGUGCUAUGGAAACACAGGGGAUAGGCAGCCAACUCCGGCUGUAGUAGUGGGAGUUUUCCUGGAGGGGGUGAGACAGUGACCACUGUGAUUACAGAAGACGACCAGGGUCUUCUAUAGCUUUGAUCCCCUCUCCACUCCCAUCCAUGAGAUGUGUGGAUUUUCCCAUGCCUUUCAGAAGAGGAUUGUUGCCUCUGGUACUUUGAUAUUAGUGGUGGUCGUUUCUAAGGGGACGGGAUGAGAGGGAUGGGUUCCUGCCGGGGAUAAAAGGGUUGUUCCUCCAUCCUAACCCAGUCACACUGAGUAGGGACUACCUAUUUCACUGAUAGCCAUGGCUCCUAAGAAUUUUGGGGGUACCUCUGUUCACUGCAGCCUGACCAAAAAUUCCUCCCCACCUCACUGCAGGUUAUAAGACCCUUCUCAAGUGCCUCUCAGGUAAAUUCUGCCGCCGGGAGCUGAUUGGCAUCAUGGGCCCCUCAGGGGCUGGCAAGUCUACAUUCAUGAACAUCUUGGCAGGAUACAGGGAGUCUGGAAUGAAGGGGCAGAUCCUGGUUAAUGGAAGGCCACGGGAACUGAGGACCUUCCGCAAGAUGUCCUGCUACAUCAUGCAAGAUGACAUGCUGCUGCCACACCUCACGGUGUUGGAAGCCAUGAUGGUCUCUGCUAACCUGAAGCUGAGUGAGAAGCAGGAGGUGAAGAAGGAGCUGGUGACAGAGAUCCUGACGGCACUGGGCCUGAUGUCGUGCUCCCACACGAGGACAGCCCUGCUCUCUGGCGGGCAGAGGAAGCGUCUGGCCAUCGCCCUGGAGCUGGUCAACAACCCGCCUGUCAUGUUCUUUGAUGAGCCCACCAGUGGUCUGGAUAGCGCCUCUUGUUUCCAAGUGGUGUCCCUCAUGAAGUCCCUGGCACAGGGGGGCCGCACCAUCAUCUGCACCAUCCACCAGCCCAGUGCCAAGCUCUUUGAGAUGUUUGACAAGCUCUACAUCCUGAGCCAGGGUCAGUGCAUCUUCAAAGGCGUGGUAACCAACCUGAUCCCCUAUCUAAAGGGACUCGGCUUGCAUUGCCCCACCUACCACAACCCGGCUGACUUCAUCAUCGAGGUGGCCUCUGGCGAGUAUGGAGACCUGAACCCCAUGUUGUUCAGGGCUGUGCAAAAUGGGCUGUGCGCCAUGGCUGAGAAGAAGAGCAGCCCUGAGAAGAACGAGGUCCCUGCCCCCUGCCCCCCUUGUCCUCCGGAAGUGGAUCCCAUUGAAAGCCACACCUUUGCUACCAGCACCCUCACACAGUUCUGCAUCCUCUUCAAGAGGACCUUCCUGUCCAUCCUCAGGGACACGGUGAGGCGUCAGGCUGGGGGAGAGGAGGUUGGCACAGGCCUGACUUUUUGGGCUGUAGGAUCCCAGCAGCUGAGAUGGGAAUGGGGACCCUCCCUCACAGCCCUGCAAUGUGCCUGUGGGUCUCUGUGCCUGUGAGGGCAGCUCCGAGUUCCUACUCCAGGCUUACUCUGAGGCUUGCCCUGGCCUGUAACACAUCCCUCUCCUGGUGAUGACCCCUCCCAAGGUCCUGACCCACCUACGGUUCAUGUCCCACGUGGUUAUUGGCGUGCUCAUCGGCCUCCUCUACCUGCAUAUUGGCGACGAUGCCAGCAAGGUCUUCAACAACACCGGCUGCCUCUUCUUCUCCAUGCUGUUCCUCAUGUUCGCCGCCCUCAUGCCAACUGUGCUCACCUUCCCCUUAGAGAUGGCAGUCUUCAUGAGGGAGCACCUCAACUACUGGUACAGCCUCAAAGCGUAUUACCUGGCCAAGACCAUGGCUGACGUGCCCUUUCAGGUGGUGUGUCCGGUGGUGUACUGCAGCAUUGUGUACUGGAUGACGGGCCAGCCCGCUGAGACCAGCCGCUUCCUGCUCUUCUCAGCCCUGGCCACCGCCACCGCCUUGGUGGCCCAAUCUUUGGGGCUGCUGAUCGGAGCUGCUU